GACGAACGCUGGCGGCGUGCCUAAUACAUGCAAGUCGAACGAGAGCGACCGGUGCUUGCACUGGUCAAUCUAGUGGCGAACGGGUGAGUAACACGUGGGUAACCUGCCCAUCAGAGGGGGAUAACAUCCGGAAACGGAUGCUAAAACCGCAUAGGUCUUCGAACCGCAUGGUUUGAAGAGGAAAAGAGGCGCAAGCUUCUGCUGAUGGAUGGACCCGCGGUGCAUUAGCUAGUUGGUGAGGUAACGGCUCACCAAGGCCGUGAUGCAUAGCCGACCUGAGAGGGUGAUCGGCCACAUUGGGACUGAGACACGGCCCAAACUCCUACGGGAGGCAGCAGUAGGGAAUCUUCCGCAAUGGACGCAAGUCUGACGGAGCAACGCCGCGUGAGUGAAGAAGGUUUUCGGAUCGUAAAACUCUGUUGUUAGAGAAGAACAAGUGCUAGAGUAACCGUUAGCGCCUUGACGGUAUCUAACCAGAAAGCCACGGCUAACUACGUG
rnacentral:rRNA from 1 species